AGACAUGGGAAAGGUGCCCAGAGGGAGAGUUGGGCCAUGCACGUGUCCUGCAGGUUGGGAAGCUCCUCUGGGAAAGCAGAGUUAAUCAGAGUGACAGAGAAUGACUGAGCAGCAGUGCUCUGGGUACAUGGUCUGCAGGUCUCUCCAAGUCCUGAGUGCCCAUGCAAGGGAAUGGGGGCUGCAUGGUCAGAGACCAUCCUGGUACAGCACAGCUUCUUCUACGUCCCUUGCUGAGCAAUUUUGGUGGCUCUGCUGUUGUGUGUCCGAAGAAUGUUCUCUGCAAUCCCUCCCUUGGGUAUGGGGAAUCCUGGUGACUUUGCAGAUGGGUUUUCAGGGAACGGCGUUGGCACGCUAAGCUGUUAACUGCAACUUUUCUCCUGGAAACAAUAAAGUCGUCAUUUCCUCUG
rnacentral:lncRNA from 7 species